CACCACAUCAUCAUGCCAUAUGCGGUGGGAUGUGGUUUUUGUGUAACGCCGACUAUGAAGCUGACAUGAAAGAGCAUUUUAAGUUAUUACAAACACAAUCUUGGUUUUGUGUUAAGCUUCAAGGAUACUGACGAAAAUGACGGCAACGUUUGUCUACGUGUGUGUCGUGUUAGGACUGGUCAGCAACGCGACGUGUCAGGGUCCAUAUGAAACCGUAUGACCCAGUGGAUGUCUGCUCCCCUUCUGCCCCAUCGGACUCGGCUGUCCAAUUUGCAAGCCUGGAUAUUGUAAAUUUAGCAGUGGACACCUUAGGGGUUAUAUAUGCACGACCUCGUGUCCGCUGGGAUAUACCUGCACCAGCGAUAAUUUCUGCACUGGAAUCCGGACAUGAGGAGGUGUCCGAGCCUGGUUGAGACUCGGAUCUACUGCUAUUUCAAAUAACUAUUCAUGUUUGCGUGUAUUUAAAUGACUAUCUAUAUACAGUUUAUAUGUUUUAUUAACGUUAACGCCCAUCACUACUGCCAAAAGCAACUGUAAUUGUGACGUUGUUCAGAAUAAUAACAGAGUUUUCACAAACCGAAAACCUUCCUAUAUAAACAACAUUGUUCGAAUUAAUUUGCCUCGCAAUUAACAUGUUAUAGAGUAAGAAGUAUGAUGCUUUGCAAUUUUAAAUUUUAUUGAAAUGAAUAAACAAACUGUCCACAUGUCAGUGUUCUGUUGUAUAUGUGUACUCAAUAUGCACAGUACUUCUAUACAUACCAGUAAAGGUGUCUUGUUGCGUAUGUAGGCUUUAAACAUGUGACGACAUCCCCUAGUUAUCGCUGUACAUUAAAUUCAAUAAUUCAAUAACAAAUAACGUGUUAUUGUUAAUAUAUACCUAAACCACCUGC